AAGUAGGUAAUCUCCCUCCCCUGGUACUUAGAAACGGCCUAUCAGGGCUCAGUCAUUGCUUUAUAAAGGCUGUGAUUAGGCUACCUGGGAUGCGUCAUUGUUGGCCCCGCCCAUCCGGUACGUGUGCGCUUCCGCCUAACAAAGCUGGAGUCGCCUUUUUGCAGCUUGAAUAGCCCAUUAUUCCUGGCUUCGCUGUGGUUUUCAGGCUGUUCUUGCCACCUGGUUAGACUGAUUUCAUUCAAGUAAUCUUCUGAGACUUGUGCUGUGAGCAACUGUAUGAGGCCCCUGAGUCGGGUGGCUAGCUGUCCUAGUAUCCUGGUGGUGGUGGUGUUUGGAGCACGGAGUGUGGAUUGUCGUUUGUAGUCACUCACCUCACUGUGUGUGUGUGUGUGCUUUACGAAUAGCCACUUUUGCAGCUAGCCUACCCUGCUAGGGGUAAGCCUUCGUAAAACUGAUUAAUGUAUGCCUGGUCGAAUCAUAUCUUUGCCUGAUCUUCUAAAAGGUGUAUUUUCUACUUUGUGAAUUUAAUAAAUAUUUUAUACGCUAGUGCCUCUGUCUCUGCCUCCUAUGGUAACGAACCUGUGUGUCUAAAUUCCAUCAAGUAUUUAGUUCCCCUCACUUUAGAGGGGUGGCGUAGUCGGUAGUUAUAUCAUAAUUAAUUAACUUCAAGUUGCCACGCCACAUUCUGGCGUAGUCGGCAGGGUACCGUGUUUGGCGGAGACACUGGUAUUAGUGGUUGUAUUUUUUGUUUGUUUUUCUUUUUCUUUUAUUUUUCUGUUGCAGUGAGAUUGGUAAAGAGUAGCAGCAAAACAGCAGCGCACGUCUGGUGGAUUCUGAUUCUUUGUGAGUCUACUCCCUCUUGUUGGUAAGUGUUAC